rnacentral:sRNA from 1 species
UUGGCUGCAGCAGCGCGCUGCCCCCACUGGCCGGCGCGCCGUGAUCGAUCGCAGGCUGCGUCAGGAGCCUCCCGGCGUAUAAAUAGGGGUGGCAGAACGGCGCCGAGCCGCACACAGCCAUCCAUCCUCCCCCUUCCCUCUCUCCCCUGUCCUCUCUCUCCGGGCUCCCACCGCCGCCGCGGGCCGGGGAGCCACCGGCCGCCACCAUGAGUUCCUUCAGCUACGAGCCGUACUACUCGACCUCCUACAAGCGGCGCUACGUGGAGACGCCCCGGGUGCACAUCUCCAGCGUGCGCAGCGGCUACAGCACCGCACGCUCAGCUUACUCCAGCUACUCGGCGCCGGUGUCUUCCUCGCUGUCCGUGCGCCGCAGCUACUCCUCCAGCUCUGGAUCGUUGAUGCCCAGUCUGGAGAACCUCGACCUGAGCCAGGUAGCCGCCAUCAGCAACGACCUCAAGUCCAUCCGCACGCAGGAGAAGGCGCAGCUCCAGGACCUCAAUGACCGCUUCGCCAGCUUCAUCGAGCGCGUGCACGAGCUGGAGCAGCAGAACAAGGUCCUGGAAGCCGAGCUGCUGGUGCUGCGCCAGAAGCACUCCGAGCCAUCCCGCUUCCGGGCGCUGUACGAGCAGGAGAUCCGCGACCUGCGCCUGGCGGCAGAAGAUGCCACCAACGAGAAGCAGGCGCUCCAGGGCGAGCGCGAAGGGCUGGAGGAGACCCUGCGCAACCUGCAGGCGCGCUAUGAAGAGGAGGUGCUGAGCCGCGAGGACGCCGAGGGCCGGCUGAUGGAAGCGCGCAAAGGCGCCGACGAGGCGGCGCUCGCUCGCGCCGAGCUCGAGAAGCGCAUCGACAGCUUGAUGGACGAAAUCUCUUUUCUGAAGAAAGUGCACGAAGAGGAGAUCGCCGAACUGCAGGCGCAGAUCCAGUACGCGCAGAUCUCCGUGGAGAUGGACGUGACCAAGCCCGACCUUUCCGCCGCGCUCAAGGACAUCCGCGCGCAGUACGAGAAGCUGGCCGCCAAGAACAUGCAGAACGCUGAGGAAUGGUUCAAGAGCCGCUUCACCGUGCUGACCGAGAGCGCCGCCAAGAACACCGACGCCGUGCGCGCCGCCAAGGACGAGGUGUCCGAGAGCCGUCGUCUGCUCAAGGCCAAGACCCUGGAAAUCGAAGCAUGCCGGGGCAUGAACGAAGCGCUGGAGAAGCAGCUGCAGGAGCUGGAGGACAAGCAGAACGCCGACAUCAGCGCUAUGCAGGUGCGGCACGGCCAGAAACACAGGGGGGCUCCCACUGGAGCAAGGGGGGGAGUUGGUGCGCCCAGAAAGUGGAGACCAGGGGUGGUGCGGCUGCACGCAGCUCUUAGGGAUAGGGCUUGGCUCCUUGGCCACUGUGUGGGAGGGGUGGGGCACUUGAAGGGCGUGAGUGCGGGCGCGACUGUAGUCUGGGAGUGUGCUCGGUGCUACUGCACCGGCGUUCCGCAUUAAAGCUGCCCAGCCCUUGUU